CCCUUAGAUGUCCGGGGCCGCACGCGCGCUACACUGAAGGAAUCAGCGUGGCUUUCUCCCUGACCCGAAAGGGUUGGGAAACCCGUUGAAUCUCCUUCGUGAUAGGGAUUGGGGCUUGAAAUUGUUCCCCAUGAACGAGGAAUUCCUAGUAAACGCAAGUCAUCAGCUUGCAUUGAUUACGUCCCUGCCCUUUGUACACACCGCCCGUCGCACCUACCGAUUGAAUGACUCGGUGAAAAAUUGGGACCGUGAGUCUGUUUGCUUCAUUGCGAGUGGAUUGAUGGGAACUUUUUUAAACCUCGCCAUUUAGAGGAAGGUGAAGUCGUAACA
rnacentral:rRNA from 1 species